GAUGAACGCUGGCGGUAUGCUUAACACAUGCAAGCCGAACGGACUCUUCGGAGUUAGUGGCGGACGGGUGAGUAACGCGUGAGAAUCUGGCUUUGGGUUCGGGACAACCACUGGAAACGGUGGCUAAUACCGGAUGUGCCGAGAGGUAAAAGAGAAAUUGCCUGAAGAUGAGCUCGCGUCUGAUUAGCUAGUUGGUGAGGUAAAGGCUCACCAAGGCAGCGAUCAGUAGCUGGUCUGAGAGGAUGACCAGCCACACUGGGACUGAGACACGGCCCUGACUCCUACGGGAGGCAGCAGUGGGGAAUUUUCCGCAAUGGGCGAAAGCCUGACGGAGCAAUACCGCGUGAGGGAAGAAGGCUCUUGGGUUGUAAACCUCUUUUCUUAGGGAAGAACAAAAUGACGGUACCUAAGGAAUCAGCAUCGGCUAACUCCGUG
rnacentral:rRNA from 1 species